rnacentral:lncRNA from 1 species
CAAUUUUACUUAUGUAAAUAAUAAAAAUGUACGAGGAUUCUGUCCAGGUUAGUAUUCUGGUCAUUACACUCUCGUCAGGACUCUGAUUAAUGCAAUGUUAAUGGUAUUGAAAAAAUAAUUCAAUUACUUUUCUGUUCAUAGGACACCAAAUUCAAAAAAAAAAAACUUAAAAAAUAUACAUAAUUAAAAUUAAUGUACUAAAUCUCAAAAUAUAUCCAUUUAGUAAUCAUCCUUAUUUAGAAGAUGGAUAAUGGGAGGCCAUCUUAUUAUUAUGUUCUCCACGUGUGAUUUACUGAUUUGUUUUCUUAACCAUAUAGAUAAUUGAGAAAACACAAUUUAGAUAUAGA